CAAGAUUUUGUGGAGAUAUGAUAAAUGUUAUGAAAAACCCAGGGUGGGCCAAAACAUAUGCCCCGGGCCAAAAUACGUCCACUACCCUAUAUGACGAUUUCCUUGCAAGAAAAUGGAAGCUCCAUUUUCAGAACUUAGGCAUAUUAGUGAAAAAAAAACUUGGUAAAUUCAUUCCUGUUUUUUCCAAUUCAUUCGGAUAUCGGAGGAAGAUCCCUUUGAAAAUUAUAAACACAUUUUCAGCAGUAUUCCUGGUGAACAAAAUUUGAAAUCAGUAAUAUAUCCAUUUUCAUUUUUAUUAUUUUUAUUCUUCUUUUGCCUUAAACCUUACAGGUUUUCAAUUAUUCAAUUAGAUUUUCAUCAAACAGGUCAUAUCUUCCAAAGUAAAGACAGCAUUUUUGAAGUGUCGCGGUGCACUUGUAAAGGCUUUGUAGUGUACCAAGUGAACCGCGGUGCAUGCUCUGAAAACCUCUGAUUGGCAAGUUUUGAAAUUGUCUUAACAUUACACUGAAACCUCUUUUUAUGCCAUUGGCUGGAGGUGUGCAUACUGUAUAUCUUUAAAAUAGCAUAAAAAGAGGGAAUUUUGUACAUAGAUUAAGUUAGGUCUUUAAUGAGGGAAUCUAGUUCACGAGAACGGGUUCGCUCCCGGCCAUUCGACAUAGGGGGUCAAAGGGGUUUCCAGGAACUUCCCAGAGAGCUCUAAAAAGGGGUCCAAUGGGCUUCAGGGGCGUUUUGAGGCUAUUGUAUCAGGGGAUUUCAGGAAUCUUUUAUUAAGAGUGUUCCGUCAGGCUUUGUUGAUGUUUUAUUGGGAUAACGGGGAUUUCAUGAGCGUUUCAAUAGUAUCAAUGGGGUUUCAGGGACGUUUCAAGGUGUAUCAAAACAUUUCAGAGGCAUAUCAGAGAGUUUCAGGGGUCUCACGAACAUUUUAAGGGUGUUCCUAGAGGUUUUUUGAGCGUUUGAUCCCAAGUAACAUUUUUCAGUCAAGUAGACAAGAAGUGAUUCUUAGAAUCACCAUUGAACCAAAAUAAAAGGUAUAAGGUUUUAUGAUGUUUCUCAAAACCUCUACAAGGUUAACUGGUCAUAAAAAUGUUAUUUGGGAUAACAUUCCAGGGGUGUUUCAAGGGGUUUUCAGGUUCGUUUCAGGGGGUUUCUGGAGCCCCUUUAAAGGCGUUCCAAGGGGUUUCAGGGGCAUUUCAAAUUGAUAACGUUGAUUUCAUAGGCGCUUCAAUGGGGUCAGGGUCGAAAUCCCCCCAAAACCAAACACCAGCGUAACGCCUCUGAAAUCCGCAGAAAAUGCUCUGAAACUUUCUGAAAUGCCUCGAAAUCUCCCUGAAACCUCUUGAAGCGCCCCCGAGACUAUCUGGAAUCACUUUGAGAUUCCCUAAAACGCCCCUGAGAUCCCCUGAAGUGCCCCUUAGACAAUUGUCUGAGGAUGGCUGAAGGAAAACAGUAAGCCGAAACGUCACAAUGUUAAACCAAUAGUUGUCAUUGGCUCACCGAGAAACAUCAAUAAAACAAAUAAAUAAAAGUAGGCCAUGUAUUGAACGAAUACAUCGAAUGCGUGAAACUUCUGCCUACGACCUGUGCUUUUAAACAGAUCGGCUUGGUUGGUAGUUCAUACCACCUUACCACAGACAAACAGACGUAACACCUUGAACGAUUUUCAUGGAAAUCCAUCGCCCAGCUCACACUACCAUCACAUGGUGGAAAAGUUGCACGAAUCACUGUGUUGUGCCAUAUCGUCAACAGAAGGCGCUAGUGUGAAACGUCAAACGCAUAGAAAAACGAAAGCCAUAACUAUGAAAAUUUAAAAUGAUCGUUAAAAGCGUGGUCGAUGGAAAUUUCAAAAGUGUUACGUCUGUUUGUCUGUGACCUUACCAAGACUGGCAAAAGUUUCAGGCACCCGACUGCCUAUGUAUUGUUCUGUUUUCAUCACAAGUUCUAUCGAUCGGUAGCUUUUUCGGAAUUCGCACUCCGUUCAUAGGGGUAUGCCUAUACCGCGGCGUGUUCUUCCUAUAAGCUUUUUCGAUCUUCUAAACUCCCUGGCCUACUAUAAGAGUGUUUAUUGUUCACGAUUUUCUGUUCAGGAUAAACUUCAAAAAAAUCUGCCUUCACUUCUCAGUUCUUCCUUUUCCUUUGUGGCUCUACGUUCUCACUGGAACUUGGCCUUCUUUCCUUCAACUUAGUGUUCUUUGAGCUCUUCCACAGUUACUAAUUCAAGGACUUCCUUUGUCUGCCAUUGCAAGAACUUGUAUAUUGUAAGGCAAGUACAAUGAUACACGAUUCCCAGAAUAUUUCCUAUAAAAUAAAAGGCAAAUUUCCAAUAAGAUCUAUGAUGAUAACUUUUUCAAUAAAGAAAUUUAGGAUUCCUGAUCUUGAUCUCUUAGGAACUUGAAUAUUCCGAACAAGUUCCAAGGAGCACCUUAUCUAAGAACUUUAUCUGAAGUUUGUGGAACUAGAAAGUGUGUUUUUCCAUAUGAGUCAUACGGGUAAACUUUGGACUUCCGUCGAAAGAACUCAAGUAUGGCGUAGAAUACAUCCGACAAACAUCAUGAAGAAGUUGUCAUUUUAUUCAAUAACAAUUUUGAUGGAUAACGAUGUAAAUACUUUAGUAACCUUACCGGCAUCAUUUUGAACUUGAGAGGAAAAAUCUCCCAACCUAUCUAUUCUCCCCAUCUUCAUGGUCACAAUUUCACUUGUGAAUUGACACAAUAAUCAAGCGACGAAGGGCCAGGACCUUGCACGACAGAAAACGAGGAAAAUAAGCAUAUGUCUCUAUCAUCGCAAUCUAGGCCAAAGGCCAUCGAGUCACAGCCAUAGCCUGCUACAUCUCAUCCACCACUCGUUCUUCCCGUCUAAGAAAACGACAAUAUCGGCGGCAUUUAAUCGAUCUUUUGUUUCCUCCUUCUUCUGGUUCUAUACAUAUAUUCGCUAUCCGAGCAGGAAUGAAUAACGAAUACCAAAGUCAGGUAUCAUACCAAGACAAGAUAUUGGUCCGUUAUCCAGGUAUUGAAAAUAACUUAUUUUGGUAUUUUGAAGGUAUUGAUUGAUACAAUACCUCAAUGAGUUAUUGGUUUGGUGUUGAGGUAUUAUUCAAUUAUGGAAAAAUCACGAUUUGUAUGGAAAAAACGCCGAUUAUUAUUUAGGUAUUGCCAUACUUGAUGUCAUUAUUCACGCGUUAUGCACAGAAUACACACCAGUUAUUAUUUUAGGUAUUUUACCUCUUAUGCAGGGCUACUUAAUACCUCAUUCAGAUUGUAGGUAUUCGAUUUUCCAUACCUGAGUUAGUUAUUCUUCAGCUAUUUUCUCCUGCUCGGGUAGCGAGCUCUCGGUGGUGGUAUGUCACACUUGACUUCCCAUUUAUGCUUCUUGGAGCGAAGGUUGGCGGCAGUGGCGGCGCCAACUUGAUAGUCCUACUAUUCGCGCCAUAAUUAUGUAUAUACAGUCAGGAGUCUUACAACACGGUACCACCCACUUUACGCCCACUGCGAUAGCUUGGCUGACUUACAUCCAAAUUAACUGAUUUUUUGUAUGUUGUUUUGGCAUAUUAUAUGCUAAUUAUGUUUCAAAAACUGAAGUGGGUUGCACCGUAUGUUAUAGGUCCCAGCUGUAGUUGUGCGAUGUUAGACAUACAAUCACGUCCCCAAUAAAAAGCUGUCACCAACGUAAGGUCCAUUGUGGUUUCCCAGUGGUAUUCCACGCAAUUCAAUUGAUUUUGGGUAAGCGAUCGCCGUCUUCGUUUCCCAUUCAAAUUAAAAAUCAGCCCAAUCGAAUGAAUCGCAACCGACAUCAUAUCCAAAUGUUGACCUAAGAUGGGUGGCAACGUCUGAUAGGAGAACUCAAUGAAGAUGGAAGCGUUCAUAUGUAAACGAACAGAGCACAUAGACGACCGCCACGCUUCGUGGUGGAGACAUCCUUUCUUACAUGAUGUUGUCCUCGUGCAUAACUUGCGAGAAAACUCAAGAAGACAAGAUUAGGAAUGGGGAACACAGCACAACGCAAACCGUGAGGGGUAUUGGAAGCAAUUUGCGGGGUAACGAAGAGCAAUGCAAACCCGGAAAUGGAAAUGGAUUGUAUUGCUUUUUUUUAUUCCGGGGAGAAUUUCACUUCGGCUAAUGUAAGUACCCUUUCUGUUAGGCUCGAUUUAUGAACGCUAACUAAAUUGAGUAACAAAUAAUCUGACCCCAUCCGCAUAACAUGAAAUUCCCGGAAGCUAAUUAUGCAGAAACUUUUUUUCACAAAAUUCACUCAUUUGCUAUAAGGUACACCGGGGCAAGUUGAAACGGGUGGGGCAAGAUGAAACACGAAAUUUUGAAGUAGAUUCCAAUACAAUUUGGAAAUUUAUCCUUUGCUAAAAGAUUGUUUGAAUCAAACACUAUGUGUUAUGGCGAUCAAAAUGUUUAUCAUCAUUAGAAAAUAUCUAGUUAACCCGCUGUUUCAACUUGCCCCGGUGUACCUUAGGGUAUGGCGCUAGUUAUGGAAACAUUAAAAACCGAAGUUUACUUCUGUGGCUUUUUAGCAGUGUUAGCUAAAUAUAUUAUUCCAGCGUAAAAUUAAUUACAAGUUUUAUGUCCACUCUUCGCAUAUCCCUUUCGUGACGAACCAGCACAAUUGUGCUGUUGAGCGGUAACAGUUUUGCAUAUUUUUUUCUUCUGUUCAUACUUUGUUUUAUGUGAUGUAAACUGUUUCAAUAAUUCAGCCAUUACUUAUACUUGUUUGUGUGUAAACAAACUUUUGUUUACAUUGUCUGUGAAAUUUGCCACCACAAGGUAAACAAAAACCGGGCAAAAACCGUUAAACAUGAAAAAGUUUUAUCUGUCACAUAUUUUUAAUUUCCGAUUUAUCUAGGUAGUCAAAGCUAGAAAUCGAAAGAUAAAGAGUAGUUCUUUCAAAUGAGGAAAAAUAAUUGUUGCUUUUUUGGGGAAUCUUAAAGUUCUGGAGAGCCAAAGUUGAGCAAUUUGUAUGGAAAUUUCACUUUUUUGCGCUCCGUCUCGAAAGGGCUAUAGUGGAUUCUUCAGAAUAUGCUUUUUUGAAUCCUUUAUAGUGCUUUACAUUUAUUAAAUUGAUAAAAUUACCGAUUUUUGUGGCCACCGUACAAAUCAAUUAGGGUAAUUCGCCAAUUGUUGAACGGUUAGUACAGGCAUUUUUGCUUUCGUUUGUUUUCCGUGCAUAAUUCCACUUUAGUUGAAAAAUAUCCAGUGAACGUCUAGAUCCACUCCUUUCUUAUACUUCCCAUAUAAGGCCGAAACAAAUCUCAUUUUCAUCUUUUGUCACUUUGCUCGUUGACUCGUCAAGGGGGUGGAUAAUAAAUAAUAAAUGUAUUUGUUGAAAAAUUACCCAAACAAUUAGGCAAAAUUGUAAAACUCAUCGGAUUUGUUAGGAAAUUUUCUCGACAACUCUAAUUUCAGUUAAAAUUUUUUAAAUUUUUGUAUAAUUUAUUUGUGUCCCCCCUCAAAAUGUCGAAUUCCGACCAAAAUUUUCCGAGGGGGGGGUGACAUUAGAGAAAAUCAAAAUUUGUGUCAGCCUAAUUUGUAUUCCCUUAAAUUCCAUUUUCUAAGAGUAAAUAGAACAUUUGUAUGAGAAGUCGGUUACCCAAAUGUUGAACGCUUCCAUAAGCUAGCUCAUCCUAAUGUUGGAAGAUUCUCGCCAAUUAUUGAACUGUUCAAGCUUUGUUCGUAAUUGAUGACGUAUAACCCGACAUAAACCUAUCAUUGACCUGAUUUUAUUUUCGCCACCAAACCCAACAUUGACCCAACAGUAAUCCGAAGUGGGUCCAACAGUGAUCCAACAUUUGAUAAAAUUUGACCCGACAUCCGAUAGUUUUUCACUCUGGUGGAAUUUUUCCGGGUUUUUCGUGUGUUGUGUCCAGUUAGUCAUUUGGGUGACAAUUCAUUCAAAUGAGGGAGCGUCCAUAAAUUUCGUCACGAAAAAAUGUCCAUUUCUACACCCUCCCCAUAUGGCCAUAAGUCACACUUUUUGAAUGAGGCCUCGAAAAUUUUUGUAUGGAUCGUCACACUUUGCUGAACUCCCCUCCGCCCACAAAGCGUGACGUAAUUUAUGGACGUUCCCAAGAAAUCGCUUCCCAUUUGAAGAGAGCUCUAGUGGACUGAAAUCGUUUUAAACAUGAUCAAAUGAAAAAAAUGACUGAAAAGAUUUGACUAGAAGCGAAAACGACUGAAGAAAAGAACGCCAUUGAAAGCCCCUGAAACACUCAUGGAAACCCAUGGGACCCAUUCAACCCCUUAGAACACCCCUGGAACGACCCUGAAAUACUUUGAAAACCCGUGGAUCGCUCCUAAAAAAGGUAAAGUGAAAAAAAAUCUAGCAGUCAUGCUAACAUUGUAGGUUAUGCCAGUGUUCAACAAUUGGAUCAUAGAUGCAUAAUGAUAGUGUGAUAAGAAAAAUAUUUUUAUCAAAUGAAAUUACAAUGAAAAUGUGAUUUUAAACAAUGAUAAACUGUUAAGGACAUCCUUCCAGUUCUUGUAACUAUGGUGUGACUUUGAUAUUUGUGGUCAAUUUGCCUGCAAAGUUUAUUUCGUAACAGCAAUUUCUUAAAAUUAAUCUUAAGAAUUGUGCAGUUUUCGUGUCAUUAGCGGUACAAAAUUUUCAAUCGUUAUUUUUGACGUAAAAAAUGUAUAAUUUUGUAACUUUAUUGGAGCAAUAUCAUGACACUCAUGUAUACGCAUCUAUAUCAUACGUUUACGUUCAUGGAAAAUUAUUUAAGUUAAUUUUAUAACAACAUUUUCAAAAACUGUUCAACAUUUGGGUAGUGUUCAACAAUUGGCGAACUACCCUAUCGAUGUCUUGAAGCAGUUGAUUAGAGCAUUUAUAUUGUUAAGAACUCUUUAAAAAUCAUUUUUGGAAUUCUAUAUGAAAUAAAUUUUACAGAAAAUAGUCCAACAACAUCUCAGGGACAUCCUAUUUAUAUCACUUCAAGAAGGCAGUGUUGGGAAUACUCACUUGCUACUAUCUCAGUUCAGAAGUCUUUCUCACGACUGGUAUGUGUGUGCGACUCUUACUUUAUUCGGCAAAAUUUUUGAUUGAGCUGCGAUGUAAAAGUGGGCUUCGUGGCCGAGCGGUUGCCGGCGCCAGUCGUUAGGAGUCUCGUCAACUUUUCGUCAAACGGAAAAUUCUCCACUGGGCCACUGCAGUGCACUGGGUGUAAUAUGUGUUGUCCGUUGUCAAUUGUUAAUAAUGAUCAGUCUGUAGAGGACGCAAGAUCGAAGACAGACGGUGUAAUUGUCGUUUAAAUGUCCUAUAUCCCGUUUUUUGAUAGCAUGCUUCUGAGAUAGUAGCAAAUGAGUAUAACUUUGGCAAGUGAGCAUUCUCAACUCUGAUAGAAGCUCCCCAUGGUUUUGCCAUAAAUGCUUCUACAUAUGUAACAUGCAAUUCUUUAAAAAGUUCGUCAAAAAUUACCCACCGAAUUUCCCCAGCAAAACAUCCAGAAAUCCCUAUAAAGUUUACUCUUUUAGACAGGGCCGGAUUUACAAAUGUGGAGCCCUCUUUUUUGACAUAUAGUUUUGUUCAAUGUAAAAAUAACAAAAAAAAAUCCAAAAAGUUUUAAGGUUGUUGUGGACGAAAAUGAAACUAGGUUAAUCAACGUAGCUUGAAAGAAAAAAUGUUUUCAUUUUACUACCGUGAAUCGCAAGUCAUUCCCAUUUGUUCAAUAAAAUUGAAAAACAACACCAAGUCAAAUUGUCUCAUAAUGAAAAGUAAUCGCAAAGUCCCAUUAUGAACUUGUGUACCCUGCUGUGCAAAACCAAACACUGUUAUAAACAGUUUUAUAUUUUUCACAGUUACGUUUUAUGUUUGAAUCAUUUUGUGAAAGUUUCAUAAUGAUCGCAGAAGUUUUCAAUUCAUGCCGAUUUUUUGAAGUUUUACAUAUAAAUCAAGUUUGAAAACUUCAGAGUUCAUUUUCUCUAUGCCUACUCCACAGACAAACAGACGUAACACCUUGAACGAUUUUCAUGGAAAUCCAUCGCCCAGUUCACACUACAAUCACCUGGUGGAAAAGUUGCACGAAUCACUGUGUUGUGCAAUAUCGUCAACAGAAGGCGCUAGUGUGAAACGUCAAACGCAUAGAAAAACGAUGCGCGCGCCUCUGGUUGUGAAAGCCACAACUAUGAAAAUUUAAAAUGAUCGUUAAAUGCGUGGUCGAUGGAAAUUUCGCAAGUGUUACGUUUGUUUGUCUGUGCCUACUCUUUACAGAUUGGACUGAGUCGCGAUGCACGGCAGUUUAAGGGUGCCGUUAUAGGAGUGAGAGUGGGAGUGCGCGUGUGCGAAGCUGCAAAGAAGAAUAUCAACAACAGCAAAUCCACGAAAAUCCUUUGUACGCGCACUCCCACUCUCACUUUGACGCGACACUAUGGCAGUGCUGUAAUAUAUGCAAAACAAAGAUCCAGAUUUGAAAUUUUAGUUUGAAAACGAUCCUAAAAGAAAUGUCACCAGGCAAACAACGCUGUAUGCGCGUGUGCUCGUUGAUUAAUUUCCAUAGAGAUUAGGUCGGAAUUUAUUACAGAGUCCCUUUAGAAAUUUAAGGAAGGAUGUACCUUAGCCUGGGUCAUAGAGGCCGUUUUUUUCAGAUCAAGGUUUUUUGACUCCAUUUUGGGUCCUGAACGACUGUACAAAAUUUGAGCGCGAUCAGUCAUGCCUACACUUUGCGCAUCACGAUUGAAAUUUGUAUGGGAUUUUAUAUGGGAAAACUCACUUUUUUGCAUUUUCCUUAUAACAGAAUAAAAUUAUUCUGAAAGUAUUCAGCCUCAGAUGUCCUGAAAAACUUGCCGAAGACCGCAAAGUCAUCCGAUUUUAGAAGAGUGUAUCUUUUUCCACAUGCAUCGGAUCGCUUUGCGGUCUUCGACAAAGUUUUUCGACACAUCCUGGACUAUACUUUAUCAUUAGCGGUUAUAUGGCAUAUGCCAUUUUUGAGCAACUUUCAAGAAAAAUACGAAAAAGUAUGAUUUCUCAUGUAAAAUUCCAUACAAACUUCAAUCGCGAUGCGCAAAAUGUAGGCUAAACCAAUCAUGCCCAAAUUUUACACAUUAAUUUGGGACCUCAAAGGGCAUCUUAAAAACUUUGAUCUGAUUGAAUCUGAUCAAUUUUAAACUUUCUCAUACAACGUUGACCCACCCUAAUGUACCUAUGUAUAGAACAAAUUUUCGAUAAAUUUCUAGUGAAAUUGGUAGGGCUAUCUCUGGGUCGUUUUUACGACAGCAUCAAAGGGAAGCACUUUGUAAACUUUUUAUUACCGUGUGUAUCAUACCUUAUGCUAAUUCUACACUUCAGGUAUUAGAGGCACGUUUUCUACACUUACUGGUGAAACUUCAUGAAGUAUUGAAAAUUAUAUUAUGCUAUUUAUGGCGGAAAAUCUAAUAAAACAUUUUGAAAACAUUUUAGACGAAAUCACAGGAAUGUCACUACUGUUUUACUUAGCGUUAAGCAGCUCCACAGUUAUUGAUUGAUGGGCUCUCUAUGCCAGUCGUUGCAUACAAAUUUUUCCUUCAGAUGUUUUGCUGUGACUUUCACAGAAGUUUCUUUUAAAAUCCUCUCAGAGGUUCCUUCGGAAAUUCCAUAAAGAGUUCAUCCGGGGAUUCUCAAGACGAUUCUUUGGGAUUUACAUAAGAAGUUUCACCAGGAAUUUAUUCUAAGAUUCCAACAGGACUUCGUUCGCGGAUUCCUUAAGGAACUUCUCCUGGGUACGUUUUGGAGAUCUCAUGGCAUUUUUCCAUGUAAUCUCUUGCUAUUCCUCCAAAAGAACAAGAAGAAGUUGGCACCUAUGAUAGAGAUUUUAGAGAAAAACAUUUAGAUUUCACCUAGAAGAGUUUCCUUCUGGAACUCCUUCCAAGAUUAAUUCUGAAAUUUCUGUAGACUCCACUUGGCUUACUCUUGGAAUUCUGUGAGAUCUUAAGUAUGAUUGGCCCCAGGUAUUUUUCCAGGAAUUCAGAGUUUCUUUUGAGAUUCCAGCAGGAAUACUUUGUGAGAUUCCUACAGAAGUUGCUUUUAAGUCAUCCAUAAAUUUGUUCACGGAUUUCCCCAAAAGCUGGAUUUUCUAGUCUUCAAGAGUAUCUUCAAGAGUUCAUCUAGAUAAUUUUCCAGGAAAGCCCACUGUGAAUUUUCCAAGACUUCCUUCUGGGAACAUCCCUGGAAUUUUUGCUGCUAUCCCUCUGGGAGAAGUCUGAAAUCGCUCCCGAAGUUCCCUAUAAAAAAACUGAUAAGUUUCAUCUGGGAGCCCUCCCGGAGCUCCUUGUAAGAAUCCUUUUGAAGUUUCUUUUGGGAAUCUUCUAGGUGUUAUUUCUAGGAAUCCUCCUGGAGUUUCUUGUAUGACAUCUGCAGAAGUUCAUUUUAGGAUGUUUUCCAGAAAAUCUGGAGUUCUGGAAGUUUUCCAGUUUUUUUUAAAGAAUGAUUUAAGAGUUCCUUUUGGGAAUUCUCUAAAAGCUGCUAGAGAAAUCUCUCAGUCGAAUUCCAGAAUAAAUCCCCAAAAAAGUUAACGGAGAAUUCAUAGGCAAACGAAUUUAGGAAUAUGGAGGAAUCCUCAAAAGACGUUCGCAGAGGCACCACUCAGUCUUCAUAAGUGAGAAUUGGUGUCUUCAGUUCCAACAACACCGGAUUGAUUUGAUACAAUCGAACAUUUUUAUUGAUCACUCGCGAAAAUUGCUGCGAUGGUAUUGUGGUGAACUAAACGUCCAAUACCCAGCAGGAGUUUACGAAUUUCCCUAGAAGAAUCCGUGGAAGGAACACCAAUGAAGUUGAACUAACGGCUCGAUGAUCCGGGGUGAAUUUUUUGUUUGUCUCCGGAUAUUUAAGUCCGACCUGUACCAGAGUUCCCAGAUUUCUUUUUUUAUUUGCAAUACAGUAUGGAAAAAGAGAGCAAACAAUGUACACUUAUGUACGUCAAUUCUGAUUUCCAUUGAAAUUUAUAUUAAAAUAUUUCGUGAUAGCCAGCAUUUUUUUCUAAUACGUCUUCCAACUAACAUUUUUCAGCCAAGUAUACUAGAAGAGGUUGUUGGAACCAUCAUAAAACUAAAAUUGAAGGUAUAUGGUUUUAUGGCGGUCCUCAAAACAUCUACAAGACUUAUUGAUCAUCAAAAUGUUACUUCGGUUAUACAUUCUUGUAGAAAUUUCUUCAGAAAAAUGCACAGGUAGUAAGCUUUACAUGAGAUUUUCCACGAUUUUUUUUAUUCCACCAAUAAAGCGUUUAGUAAUUACUUCAAAAUUUCACACAAAAACACUAAAACCACCAAUCGUCUCGAAUAUAUGGGUAGUUCGCUGUGAAAACCCUUAAUACAAGUUCCUCGAAGAUUUUUGAAAUCAUCACAUCACUUUUUAUGGAAUCCUUUUUAUGAAUUGGCCACGCAGAAAAUCAUAGAAAAAAUAUUUAUUAAAAAAAAGGUGAAUUUCCAACAAAAACAUAGGAAUGCUAAUUCUUAAAAAUAUCCAAUGGAAUCUUUGGAGAAAUUUCCGAAGAAAACGCAUAACAAUCAUUAAGAAAAAUCAAUUUGGGAUCCUCGGAGAUAUUGUUGGUCGAACUCUGGGAGGCAUUGCUAAUAUCGUUUUUGUUCUAUCCGUUAGAAGGAAUUCCAGGACUCUUGAAAAAUUCUUCAAAUUAUUAUAACGAGAGAAAACUCUGCUUGUCUUAUCCAAUUGUUGUACAUGUGUGAGAUAAGUUUACUUGCACUACCUUGCAAGUGUCCCUUGAUCAUUUCUCUCUCUCUUCUCUCUUCUUGGCGUAACGUCCUCAUGUGGACAAAGCCUGCUUCUCAGCUUAGUGUUCUAUAAGCACUUCCACAGUUAUUAACUGAGAGCUUCCUCUGCCAAUGACCAUUUUGCAUGCAUAUAUCGUGUGGCAGGCACAAAGAUACACUAUGCCCAAGGAAGUCAAGAAAAUUUCCCUUACGAAAAGAUCCUGGACCGACCGGGAAUCGAACCCGUCACCCUCAGCAUGGUCAUGCUGAAUACCCGUGCGUUUACCGCCUCGGCUAUAUGGGCCCCACCCCUUGAUCAUUUCGUUAGUGUCGAAUAAUUAGAACUUGAAUGUUAUAUGAUUAAAACUAAACCAAACAAUUCGGAUAGAGCUUACCAAAUCAUCAAAGAUGUAGCAGACGCCGCCUUUCUAGGUCACGCUUAUCUUCUUGCUAUAUUCAUCUGGUAAGAUGGUCCAAACACAAUUGUUUUACGCCAACAUGCACUUAAUCUACAGUAAAAUCUUCGAGCUAGAUAAAUUUGACAGCAAACUGUCAAACUUCUUCUCCAAAAAGUAUUAAUUAGAACCACUUUUCAUCUAACUUAAAUAUCCAAAUUUUUCGUUACACCAACAAAGCUAGCCAUGAAAAUGUUUGACACUUCUCAGGUCAUUUUGACAGACUACACACAAGCACAAAAAAGACGAAUAAUAUAUUCUACUUUAUCGAUCUUGUUGCCGUCCUAUCCAUGCUCAUGUUACAUCUGUCAAAAUGACCUGAGAAUUGUCAGUUAUUUUGAGGUUAGGUUCGUUGGUGUAAUAAAGAAUGGGGUAGCACCACUAAACAUUCCACAAUUUCGCCAGCUAAAUCUAAAACAUUACUGGGAACAAAACACCGUGCGCACACAGCUUGCUGCGAUUAUUUUGAUGGGUUUGGUUUUUACGAGUACCCUUAUGUUUCAUUUUUAUUGUUUAACAAUACCCUUAGGUAGGUGAUUAUCAACCAGCUGCGAUGCGGCCAUGUUUUUGAAGUCAUCAUCUGUUUCAGGUCAAACAUUUGAUUUAGGCGUAGUUUACGAGUGAUAUUUUUUCUUUAACAAAAAAGUUUUUUGCAUCCCCAAUUGCGGCCUAAUUUAAACACGUUUUCAUUUAUUGUGACAUCUUUCAGCUAAGAGAAUUAGAUUUUUUCAUUAUUCUCCUAGUAUUUUCGAAAAUUUUCUUUUUUGUUGUGGAAAAUAUUACGCGCUUUUCAAGUGUUGGUCCAGAAAAGUUUACUGUUUACAAACCUUUUGCUGUCAAAAUGGGGUUCAACGCACAUUGGGGGUCAGAGAUGUUGGCUCGCUUUUUUACUGUGGGGUAGUAUUCGGAUGACAAGUGGCUGGUGAUUAUACCAUCCUAGAUUAUACCCACAUUUUUCUGCAAAAGUGUUAUUUUGUUGCACUCUAGAACUCUUUUAGGAAGAGUUCUUAUAUGCUUCCUCUUUUUUAAGAUGCAAACUGACAAAGCUUCAUUUCUGUUACAACCAUUUGAUAAAGGUUAUGCUUUGUGAAACGCUAUUGUAAUUUGAACGUACAUUCUCGAUCGAACUCCACAAAUGCUUACAUUACUAAUGGUUCAUUGAUUAUCUGAAUAACUAUCAUCUCAACAUUGCUCGCUUUUUCAAAAACCUUAUAUACAAUACAAAAUAAACAUUCUCUGACAGUUAGGAUUAUUGCUGGCACAAACUCAUCAAGUAAACGUUACAAAACUUUUAUUUUACAAUUAGCGAAACAAAACUCCACAGCGAUAGGUAGUCGUGAUAUAAAACUCUUCAUGAUCUAUUUAAAACAGUUUACUGCAGCGCAACCAAGGGCAGAUGAAGUGCAGUUAGAGGCGGCGGUGUUUGGUGGUGGGCGCAAUUAAAGAUGUAUUAUCAUACAAAUAAACAAAAAAAAAAACUUUUCCUGAACAUAGUAAUAAUCUAACCAGAAAUUAAAAUAAAAAUCAGUGUGUGUUUAUUUUCUCUAAUAACUAGUUUUUACUGGUGGUUAACAACGAUCAACAACGAAAAACGUGUAUAGAGUACAGGCGAACAAAAAUAGAGAGAAAAUCAAAAGUAAACAAUGCAGCAAACGCAAAAGAUCUACCGAGAGAGACAAAAAAAAACAACGUACGGGAAAACCAAACAACGCUAGUAGGGAAGAAAAAAGAACAACAACUAAAUGUCGCAAAACACAAGGCAAAACAAUAAAUGUGUUACAGAACGACACAAUAUCAGGAAACUUCAAAUUUCUUCGUUCCGAAUUGGUACUUUUUUUGAGUGUUUUACAUUUGAUGGUUUCGGUUUUUUUUUUUUGUAUAAUGUCAAUUGGCUUCUUAUCUUAGAUUGACGAUUGUUUAUUAUGUAUUCGCUAUCGGAAAGGGAGGAAAACAGGGAACGUAAAACAUCUAAUAUGAUGAUCGAUUUAGAGAAGGGGAGGCAGAUAAUUUACAGUUCGAUCGUGCUGUAGCUGUUUCAAUUGAUCCGAUUGUUGUGAUGUUAUAUACUAAUAAAGUUAAUAGUUUAAUCAAACAACUCAACUUAACCUAGAAUUAAGGAAAAAAUGCGCAAACAUAACCUAGCAUUCAUUUGAAAACGUGUGGCCGCACACUAACACACUGAGAAGAGGGAGGGGCAUUACAAAAUGAAAACUAAUGAAACAGGUUCAAUACCAGAGUGGGUGAAUAGGCUGAAACAAAAUCAACAACAGAUCGUCCAUGUACAGCUUGAAAGUUGUUGAAAUUGGGCUUUCACUCGGGGGGUGAUCUAGUUAGUUUUGGAAAAUUGUGAAAAUCUCGUACAAUUGCCUAUUGUUUACUGCAAUGAAUGUUACACGGUGAAGCGAAUCGGCUUUUUUUGCAUCAAGAGUACGAAAAUUUGACAACAAGUUGGUAUGACACUGAAAUUUAAACAAAACAUCAACAUAAGACUUUUUCAACAAUUUAUAUCAAACAUCAUUCGUUCCGAGAAAAAAAAACAUAACAAGCAUGUAAUUGCUAACGUCAUUGUACCAAUUAGUAUGCAUAAGAAAAUAAAUAUGUCUAGUUGUUGUGUCGGGACAUCGAGGUUGCUAACAUUUUUUUUUCUGGACAGACUUCGUGUGCAAUAUCUAGGACAGAUUAAUUGAACAGAACUAGGAAAACAACUUCUCGACGUUUCCUAAAAUUCUGGUACCAUAGAACACAAACAAACAAACGUUGAACACUACACUGUGGAUGAAGGGGGUAAGACAAUCGUAGUUGGCUAGUGUGUACUUGUGAGGGUCUGUCAGUGAAGGGUUGCUAUGAUCGGAUUAGAAGUGUCCUACGUGAACUCAGUAGGCGGUAAUGGAACGAUGUGGAAACUACGAUGACAGUACACUGGAAUGGAAUGAUGAAUGAGGGUGAAGGACUCCGAAUGGAAGGUUAGGGGAGAGACACAGCGCACAAGGAUUUCAUGAUAUAAAAGUACAGCGGAAUUGGCCUAAAUCAAGGUCGGAUUGCAAACACAGCCAGUAUUAACAGCGGAGUAGACAAAUCGAUAGCAAGUACUAACACAACAAAAGAGCGCUUGCUAAGUAAUGGAGGUGUAUGCUCUAAUCAUACCGCAGAGGGUGCUGAUGAGAGCGACUACACUGUCAGAAUGACGGAUGAAGGAAUGAUGACAGCUACUUUUUCAUAUAAUCUGGUGGUGUGAGUCAAGGGUGGUAUUCAUCAACGUUUUCCAUGGCGUUUUUUUUUGUUUUCUUGUCAAUUCGGUAUGGCACAAACUUCUAGGUAUUAAGGUGACACACGAUAAUCUAUUACUAUAUUACCAGCAAACGAACAUCAUUACUCAAUGUGUGCAACUAUACUGCAUCAACUCGCCCGUGUGAGGCACUGCUGUUACUUGCUAAGAAAAUAAUCCAACUCAUCUAGUAGGCGAAAUUUUUAGAUUACUCAACUGAGGUCUAUGACCGAUUCUCUAGAAUGGUUCAUAUUACUUGUUUGACUCUUGUUUCUAAACUAAAAAAACUUCGAACCAAAACCAAACGUCACUAUCAUUCUAAACGUUAAUCACUACUACUCGGAACGAAAUCAAAACAAACAAAUAGGGAUAAAAUAAAGAUGCCACAGAAAAGAAAAAGAACAAACUCAAAACUGAAAGUAGAAAACCAAAUCAAAAGGUGUGAGAUAAGGACCGACCGCAAAGAGGUUCACCCAAACAAGGCUUCGGAACGGCCGCCCAAUUAGAGCAGACAGACACAGACUAGAUUAUGAUGAUAAGGGAAAGAAGUCACUUUUUUUGUUGCAAAUUCGAUUCGCUUGUCAGUCGACUAGCACGCGACGGUGGAUGAAUGGAAUUGUGCCAUUCGUUUGAUAUUGUUGUGAUAAGAAGGAGGAAUAUUUCGGCUGAUUUUCGUUUUUAUUUGUGCGGAAUUAAGUGUGUCGGAUUUUCUUCCGGCUGAACCGGUUUUUAUCAGGUUAAGCCGAAUGGCGAAUGUCUUUCAAUCAAUUACACGACAUUGAUCAUCAGGCGAAUUAAAACGUGAUCAAUCAGACUGAAAAUUUGUGAAGAAUGUAAUUGCCCUAUGGAACAUAAUCACUGUUCAAUAUUUAAUGAACAAGGUACUUUGCAUUCCUAACAGGUGUCGUAAUAACAUACAAUACCAUGCAGUGGCUUACGCAUCAUACAUGUUACAGAAAAGUUGUUACGGGUAUAAAUAUUUGUUACAAUUAUAAGACAUAAUAAUUGUUUAAUGUGUUAUAAAUUCUAUAUUCGUGCGUUCUUUGUGUUAUAUGUUUUAUUUUAACUUGUAAAUAUUCACCAAGUUUUAAUACACAUUUAUAGGGUUCUGGAAAAAUAGAGGUCCAUGAAAUGCAACCCACUUCGAUUGCCAACUUUCAGGCCAUUUCGGGCAGCGGUCAAGUACUAGACAUGUAAACCUUUCCCUGCCACUGACCUCAAGUUGUUGAGCGUAAGUAUCGAACCCCGAAACGGGAUGCCCGAUUAGGAUUAGUUUUCCUAGACAAAACCAAGCUAUGAACACAGCAACAAAUGCUGUGAACUAAAAGGCAUACUGCCAACUAAAAUACCAGGAUGACUGAUGGACCUAAACCAAUAAAUGAAACCUCGUCAUCCUGUGAUCGGAAGGAGUUAUCCAUCUGGAUAACAGGGCACAUUUAUGUUAUGUGUUGUGUUGCGUCAACUUGUGAUGUCUCUUAUUUGUGCAUUUGUAAGGUUCUAUGUGUAUCGUGCAGUGUUAAUACUUUGUAAAUAUUAUUUUCUUUUAUUUUUGUAACAAAGUCACGGCAGCGCAAGUUUUAGUUGAACAUAAGACACUGUGACUUAUUUUUAACAUCGUGUUGAAAAUAAGUAACAAAGUCAGGCCACCUACUAAACGUUCAUGUCCAGUUAACACCAACUGGAAGCCCAUGGUUAUCAUUCAGCUGAUUUUCAAGAGAUAAUACGCUUAUUUUUCCACAUGUCUUUACUAGAAAGUUUAAGAAUUCUUUAAAUAGUGAACAAACGAGUUUCUUUUGUACUAUCAGAGCAAGGGUUCCAUGUUGGACACUUUCCGCUAUAAGCCAACUUAAUACCGAUUGGCCUUAUUUUGUAUACACAGUGAAUCACAUAUUGGUAUGAAAUUGACUGAGUUUAAAAACAUAUUAGAAUAGAAAUGGCUGAUGCAUACUUCGGACCGCAUACCGUACCAGUGCCAUUGAAUGUAUGACGACCUUGAUAUAGAAGUAGGUGGCAUCUAAUAAAGAUAAUAAGGAUCGCUUGAAACACGUAAAAAGAGUCAUCUAUAUUAUGUGUGCUAUCAUAUGGAAACAAAUCAUCAACAAUUUUCAAAAAUUGAAAAGCAUUUUUCGUUCUGAAUUCAGAUAAUACUAAUGCAAAUAUAUCAUUGUAUGUACCUUACUUACCAUCUGGAUAACAGUGAAAACAAAGCAUAACUGAGGUUUUAAAUAGUUUGUGGUUUCUUGAAUCCUAGCCAGUGCUGAAAAUUUCAUUUCGUCAUAUCUAAAUUCAACCACCUACAGCUCAUUUUAGAAACUGAACCUGGUAAUAUGAUGUAUGAAGAACUUGUGCGGCUAGACCACUUCUGCAAGAAAGUCACGGAAAAACUACUACUUUUCGAAUAUUUAAGGUAAAUGUCACGGA